rnacentral:rRNA from 1 species
AGAAUCAACGCUGGCGGCGUGCCUAACACAUGCAAGUCGAACGAGAAAGUGGAGCAAUCCAUGAGUAAAGUGGCGACCGGGUGAGUAACACGUGACUAACCUACCUUUUAGUGGGGGAUAACCUCGGGAAACCGAGGCUAAUACCGCAUAACAUCGCAAGAUCAAAGCAGCAAUGCGCUGGAAGAGGGGGGUCGCGGCUGAUUAGCUAGUUGGCGGGGUAACGCCCACCAAGGCGAAGAUCGGUA